CGCGGGGAGCAGUGCCAAGAUGGCGGCGCCCAUCAGCCGCGAUAGCCGCGGCUCCGAGCCCGGCGCGGCUCCCUACGGCAACUUCCCGAAUUAUUCCCGGUUCCACCCGCCCGAGGGGCGCAUCAGCCUCCUGCCCCAAGGGCUCCUGCGCAGCCUCUUUCCCGCGGCCACCCGCCCGCUCCUCGGGCUCGAUGUGGGCUGCAACUCCGGGGAGCUCAGCGUGGCUCUGUACCAGCACCUGCUGGGGCUCCAGGACAGCAGUUCCAGCCCGGAGCCGCCAGGGGCCGGGAAGGAGCUGAAGCUGCUGUGCUGUGACAUCGAUCCCGAGCUGAUCCGGAGGGCCCAGCAGAGCAGCCCCUUCCCUGCUUCCAUCUCCUUCGCCAGCCUGGACAUCAUGGACUCGGGGGCCAGGGAGCCCUUCCUGAGCUCCUACCUGGAGCGCUUCGGCCGCUCCUCCUUCGACAUCGGCUUCUGCAUGUCCGUGACCAUGUGGAUCCACCUGAACCACGGCGACAGGGGCCUGCUGGAGUUCCUGGCCCUGCUGGCCUCGCUGUGCACCUUCCUGCUGGUGGAGCCCCAGCCCUGGAGGUGCUACCGGGCGGCCGCGCGCCGGCUCCGCAGGCUGGGCCGCGACGACUUUGAGCACUUCCGCUCGCUGCGGAUCAACGGGGACAUGGCCGAGAGCAUCACCCGCAUCCUGACCCAGGAGUGUGCCAUGGAGCUGGUCUGCUCCUUCGGGAGCACCUCCUGGGACAGGAGCCUGCUGCUCUUCAAAUCCACCGCUGCUCGUCCCGAGGGCUCCGGCUGAGGGGCGGCCUCGCGCUGCCGUGGAUUCACGGGCGAGGAGGCGGAGCUGGGAAUUCCUGAAUCCCUGCUAGGACCGGGCCUUGGCUUCCUGUGGGAAUCCAGGGCAAGGAAUGUCUGUGACUGAUUGUUUUUAACCAGUUUUGCGGGGUGGGAGGUUGUUCAAGGAAGUGCUCCUGGAGUCCAAGUUCCUACAUGUGCUGUCCAUGUGUAUCAAGAAUAAUCCCUGGAAUAGCAGUCCCUCAGAGGCCUGCCUUGGAUCCAGGUUUGGCCUCACCUGGCCCAGCAAAGGUUUGAUCCCACCUGAAACCCACCCUGGCUGGGACAGUGCUGCUGUUCUGGAAUACCAGGAAACAUGCCCGAGGGAAUGUAGAAUGUCCUGAUUGGAACAGCCUCACAAGGAUCCUCCAGUCCAGCUCCUGGCCCUGCACAAGACAUCCAAAACUCCAGGCUGAAUUCUCCUGGUACAGGGGUUUAUCCCUAAUGGUGAGUGCUUUUGGGAGAAUUGAAAGGGCCUCACAAGGAUUCUCCAGUCCAGCUCCUGGCCCUGCACAAGACAUUCCAAAAAAAUCCCAUUAACCCCAAAAUCCUGUUGCCCAAGUUGUCCAGACAUUCCCAGACCUCCAGAAUCAUGGAAUAUCCCAGAGCUGAAAGGGACCUGUGAGGAUCUGAGAGUCAUGGAACAUCCAGAGUUGGAAGGGACCCACCCGGGUCAUCAACUCCAGCUCCUGGCCCCACACAGGACAUCCCAAAAUCCCACCCACUGCCUGAGAGUGUUGCCCAAGCAUUCCCUGACCUCCAGAAUUAUGGAAUAAUCAGACUUGAAAAGUACCCACAAGGAUCACAGAGUCAUGGAGUACCCUGAGUUGGAAGGGACCAACUCCAACUCCUGGCCCAGGACAACCCAAAAAUCCCCCUGAUACCAAAAUCCCAGCACCCUGAGCUCUGGCUUCUUGGGGCUGUCACCAUUCCCUGGGGAGUUGUUCCAGUGCCCAGCAUCCUCUGGAUGAGGAGCCCUUUCCCAAAAUCCACCCAAAACUCCCCCAGGACUGGGGUGAGGCACCUGCAGGACAAUCCCCUGCCUGGACCCAGCAGCCCAGGCUGAACUCUCCCAGGACAGGUUCAUCCCUAACGCACCUCAGGGGUGCCAGGGAACUGAGCAGGUAAUUCUGUUGUACUUCCACUUUUCCUUGCUGCAAUGGGAGUGAGGGAAGCUCAGCCUUGUUCCAGGUGAG